rnacentral:lncRNA from 1 species
UGGGGAGAGCCGUGAUGUCUUCCAGGAGCUGUCUCAGGAGAGGGACUGGACCAGCCUGAAGGCCACCAGAGCCAAAGCCCAGCAGCACAGCUUGGGACACAAGCAUCCCACACGCGGGACUAUUUUGAUGGAGCCGGAGAAGUGAUGACACAAAUAGCUGAUGACACAAAUAGUUCUGCUGGCGGAGCAGCAGAGGUGGCAACCUCUGGAUGGGAGCCAUGAGCA